ensembl:snoRNA
UUGCGUUUUCUAAAAAGACUGUCUCCAACCACAUGCAAGAGCAACUUGGAGAGACUCUGACAGCACAGGUCAGCGUCACACCUGCAGCUGCCACUCGCCUUCCCUAUAAAA